rnacentral:lncRNA from 10 species
GCCCUUUGCAGCAAAGAGCGUGGUUCCUCCUCUUCCUGGGUGUAAACUGCGAUUCAAAAAGCCAGCCUGAAUUUUCAUGGCCAUGGGACAAAGAACCCCGUCUUUAGCUGAAUUAAGGAAAAGUUCUGCAACAUUUUUGACGUGCAACUUGGGGGCUCAAGCGGAGAAGCGCAGAGCCCCUGGAAAACUCACAUAUGUGUCAACAAUAGUCCUUGAUGCCCCUGUAACAAAACUUGAGCAAGGCCUGGUGAUGAAGAGAUACAAGAUUGUCACCCAAGGAUUUGAUUAUACCUCUGUUGAAAGUUAAUGCACACUCAACCGAAUAUGGCAAUUGGUACUCUCAAUUCUAUAUUCUCAACAAUUACAGUGAAGAUACAAGUAGAAUACAAUCACUGCCACAUUUUUUGAAAUUCUGUGUAAACUGUAAUAUUCUGUCAACAUUAAUGACAUUUGAAGUGUCCUGUCAAAACAAUUGCAGCUACUUUAUGUAUAAAACAUAUUAAAUAGGCUCAUCCAACUUGCAUUCUUUAUUAAGCUUAUUUUCAUAUUUUUUCCUAUGGAUGAACUUAAAAAUAAUUUUGUUUCUUAAUUAAGAUUCUAUGCAUGAAGAUGCUGAAUAAUUUAAGACAAUUGUUCAUUCAAAUAGUUGCUAAUUACACCCUCCUGGCAUAGUUAUUGUAUUAUUACUACAUUUAGGAAUAAUAUGCUGUACUACUUGGACUUGAAAAUGUUUCUGACAUUUUAAUGAACACACUACUUAGUUAUAUUUUACAAGGGUUUUCAGUGAACCACAGAGGAUUAAAAAAUGUCAUUCAAGGGUUGUAGAUAAUUAAACUGACUGAAUAUAAGAAGCCUCAUAUGGAAGUGAAAAUUAUGUAUGAAUUUUGUUGAGCUGGAAAUGUGUUUUACUAAAUGACUUCAGAUUUGUUACUUUUAAAUACAAGAUGAAGGGAAUCAAGGGGAUACUUUCUUCUCACCUCAAUUUGUUCCAUUUGCAUAAGCUAUUUUAUCUUUCAAUAUCCCUUUUGAUAUUUCAUUUUGGCCCUUGAAUACACUAAAGAUUAUUUAAAAUAAAUAAAUGUUGACUUUGAAAUACUGCUAUAUAUAUUCAUUGCAAUACAUCAGGUGGGAAAUUGGUGCAAUUCAGUCACACACACAACCUCAUAGAUCAGAUUUCCAGUUAAGUUUUAAUAGAAAGAGAUUUUAGAUAGACAUGACUUUCAAUAAAAUGGAAGAAUUUUUAUUAGUUUCAAAAUAAUGAUUUUACUUGCUUAUCAACACAGUUGACCUUUCCCCACAGUACUAUGAUCUUCUUAGUACCUCUGCUAUAAUUAUAUUAAUGUCUUCCUAUAUCUAGAAAUUUGAUUAUUAUUCUAUUUUUAUGGAUCAUUAAAUUUUUCUAUUCAAGAAUGAUCCCUAUAGUCAACUUCCUGAGGGAUUUCUGCUUGCUAUUUUCUGUUUCAAUUGUGUGCAUUUCAUAUUUACUAUUAAAGAUUUUAAAUAAUGACACAUUGUUUAAGCGGUUGUAAGUCUGAUUGUUAUAAAGCUCUCUGGAGAAUUCUGUAAGCUUUCACAUCUGAUGGAGAACUUCAAUGAGAACAUCUUUAAUGUGGAAUUCUUGGACAAGAAACUACAGAUUAUCCAUGGUUCAGAAGAUAUGAUGAAUUAGUAACUAUUUUUCCGUACAUAAAAAGUCAAUCUUCCUAACCAGUUUGUUGUUUUAGCUAAAUGAAUCGGUCAAAUAUUUUAGUUAUAUUAGCAAUAUUUUGUCUCUAAAAUAUCUUGACAUAAAACUAUUACUAUGCAUAUAUUAUUAACCAUGAUCUUGUAUAGCUCUAUUUCAAGCGUAUUACUAACCAUAACGAAAAUAACUUUUAAUACUGAAAUACAUCAUCGAACUUCUAAGACUUUUUCUAUUUAAAAUUCCUAAGAUUUGUAAAAUUCUAUCAACGUAGUUACUUAAAGCAAAACAAGUUGCGUUAUAGUUUCUUAAAACAACAUUUUUUAUAUUGUACUUUUUAAAAACAACAUUUCCCAGCUACCACUUUUGGCAAGAAAUUGAGAGUUUAAACCUGUUGAAAGGAAUAUAAGAUGAGUGUAUGUGUCUCACAGUCAUAAUUAAAAUGUGUUUAUGAACAUGUAUAUACUAUUGCACAUAAAUUAUGUACUCUCAUUCAUUCUUUAAAAUCCACUAUUUCUCAUUAUCUCAGAUUGUGCUAAAUUUCAGGUUAAGCUAAUGAGGUAUUUUCUUCUGAAUUUUGAAUUUCUUUCAUGAGAAGUUACUAAGAAAUCAUAAGUAAGUUCAAAUUCUUUACCAGUUCUCGAUUUGAACACUAGUAUUCUCAGAAACCUAGGAACAGGAAAGAAACACCCUCCCUUUAUCACAGUAGGCUAGGAUGUGCUGCAAUAGCCAGCACAAAAAUCAAAGUGGUUAAACACAAUGAAAAUUUAAUUCUCCCAUUACAGGUCCACACAGGUCAGCAGGACUCACCCUCUGGCUGACGGAGGCUCCAUCAUGUUCCAAAUACACUAUUUGCUACCCAUGCUCUCCUUGGUCACUGCUAUAGAGAAGCAGAGCCCCUGGAAAAUAGCCCUAAGAAAUUUAACUGCCUCAGGCAAAGAUUGACAUGUGUCACUGCUGCUCAUAUUUCAUUGACAUGGGCAUGGCAUACUUAAAUGAAAGGGUGCCAGGAAAUGUGUGUGUGGAGGAUUAAAAUAGUUGGCAAGCACCAGUGACCCUGCUACAUGGAUAUCUGCUAUCACUGACACCCUGACUGUCACAAUAUGCAAAGAAAAACUCAAGUGCCUAUGGGAAAGAUCACAUAUUAUAAAAUCAUAACUGAAAACUUGGGAACUAAUAAUUUUUCUACUGUAGAAUAUCCAACUCUUGUUUAACUUAACCUGUAUUUUUUUAAAAUAACAAUUUUAUUUCUAAAAAAUACACACCGAUUUAUUGUUUUCAUUUUUAGUGUGAGUGGCUACUGCUUGAUAAAGUUUGCUCCUCGUGCAUUCUUUUCUCUUUUUUUCUCCAGGGUGAUAUUGUGGAUUGAACAGAGCACAGGGCUGAAUCUGAAAUACAGACAGGUUGCAAUUAAA